rnacentral:lncRNA from 1 species
UUCUGAAAGAAAAGAGAAAGUCUCCACUAAUCCAUUCAUGCGCAAGAAAAUAAGAAUUAGUCUAUGUUUAGAGACGCGAGACCAAAAUUAUAUAGAUUGGAUCAGUACUUAUUUUUGUGUUUAUUUGCUAAUCUGUGGUGCAACUAAGAUUAUUAGAAGUGGACAAAAUCAAAUGCAUGAAAAUGAAACUAAGAAGAAGGAAAUAAACAAUAUCAAGGAUUCCUUCCCUACAACUUUUUAUCCUUAAUCUCCAUUAGCAUAUCAGAUAGCCAAACCUUCAUAAAUUCUACAUAACUGAAGACUGUGAAGCAGUUUUUAACCAUGGACAACUAUUUUUACAGCUUCAAAGAAACUUUAAAGAAAUCUAUAUUGAAUCUAUUACUACAUUCUUUUUGUUUUUUCCUUCUGCUUAUGGCUCCAUUUUCCGUGACAAACUUCAAAGAACUUUAUAGUAGGUAGCUCAUGUUUUAACUAU